UGGGGAAUAUUGCACAAUGGGGGAAACCCUGAUGCAGCGACGCCGCGUGAGCGAUGAAGUAUUUCGGUAUGUAAAGCUCUAUCAGCAGGGAAGAAAAUGACGGUACCUGACUAAGAAGCCCGGCUAACUACGUCGCC
rnacentral:rRNA from 1 species